rnacentral:rRNA from 1 species
AGCGAACGCUGGCGGCAGGCCUAACACAUGCAAGUCGAGCGCCCCGCAAGGGGAGCGGCAGACGGGAGAGCAACACGUGGGAACAUGCCCUUCAGUUCGGAACAACCAAGGGAAACUUUGGCUAAUACCGGAUACGCCCGUAAGGGGAAAGAUUUAUCGCUGAAGGAUUGGCCCGCGUCUGAUUAGCUAGUUGGUGGGGUAAUGGCCCACCAAGGCGACGAUCAGUAGCUGGUCUGAGAGGAUGAUCAGCCUCACUGGGACUGAGACACGGCCCAGACUCCUACGGGAGGCAGCAGUGAGGAAUAUUGGACAAUGGGCGAAAGCCUGAUCCAGCAAUGCCGCGUGAGUGAUGAAGGCCUUAGGGUUGUAAAGCUCUUUUACCCGGGAUGAUAAUGACAGUACCGGGAGAAUAAGCCCCGGCUAACUCCGUGCCAGCAGCCGCCGUAAUAC